GUUGUUGUCGUGACUUUUCUACCAAGCUCAUCCAAAGUGCAAUAUUGUUGUGUGAUUUUACUUUAUACACGUGCUUUAGAUAGAUGAUAACACAAAUUACUAUCAAGAUAGAUAAACAGAAGCUAAAUUUUAUUUACAAUUUAAGUAUCCAAAUAUUGUAUGCUUUGUCAUUACAUAAUUCAACCGACUAGAUCUACAACAACCUAUUCUCGGGAACCAGGUUCUGUAACCAACAUCCUACAGACACUUGGCUGGCCAACACUAGCAACACGCAGACAAGGAGCCAGGCUUAUACUCCUAUAUAAGAUCCUGCAUGGAGAAGCAUCAGUCAUUAUCCCAGAUUACAUCAGGAGACCAACUGUAACAACCAGACAAUAUCACAGGCACAGAGACAGGUUUUCCAGAGUCAGCACUUCAACGGAUGCCUAUAAAUACAGUUUCAUCCCCAGAACAAAUUUUUGACUGGAACCAAUUAUCUGAAAGUGCCAUCCAAGCCCCCACAACAGACGCCUUCCGGGUCUGUGUGUGGCAGUUCCUGGCAUUAACCACAAAAUAUAGAAGAAGAAGUACAAUAAACACCAGACAACAGGAAUGACAGGAUAUAUCUUCUGGGGGAUGGAUGGUAACUGAAUCAAUACAAAUAGCCUCAUUGAAUUUGAAAAAGCUGCAAAUGAUAUCAGUAACAAAAGAUUGUUAGUGUGCAGUGUGCAGACAGUGGUUAAACAGAAGUUAACAUUCUAUCAGUUUUGGGAUUUUACAAUCAGCUAGAGGAAAUAAUAGGAGAAAAAGGGACCUGUGUGGUAAAAACUUCCUAAAAGUCGUCCUUUAUGUGUUCAACUUUUUCUUUUGGCUGACAGCCCGGUUAGCUUUCCUAGCAUUAGGGUUAUAUAUCAAGUUCCAGAAGCAUACCUAUAUCAAUCUGCUAGGGAACAGUACUUUCCCUUUGGCAACAUACUUGCUACUAGGAACAGGAGCCUUUAUUAUCUUGACAGGAAUCAUUAGUUGUACUGGGACAUGUAUAGAAAAUAGAUGUUUUAUGGUUAUGGUUGGAAGAGAAUGAUGAACUAUACAUAUCUGGGAUACAGAAUCAAUGAAACAUCUUCAGUACUGAAAGGUCAACAUCAAAGAGGGGUCUGUGCUGUAGACUUCUCAGGUAUUUAUUGUUUGUUCAUUUUCAAUCUUAAUACAAAAAAAUUAUGCAGAUUGAAACAUGACAGGAUAUUUUUGGUGGUUAACCUUGUAAUGAUUUUGACUGGAACAAAAGAAUGAAUGUCAGGAAAAUCAGGAAAAUAAGAUUAUAAGUACAGCUAGUAUGGGAAUAAAACCUGGAAUUUUAUCACCAGAUCUGGUUGGACUUGGAUAUUUGUUGAUUUGUUACUGCCUGAAAAUUAUCUUCUACAGUGAUACUUAAUUUAUUGCCACCUUUUGGAACAUGUACAAUACUAUCGACAAGUCAGGAUGGCAGUAUAUCAAAGUAGAAAUUUAUAUAAAAACUGCACACAUUUGAGAAAAGUUGACUCUAGGAUUAUUCUGUAAAUUCGUAUUGGCAUGCGUAGGCACCGGACACAUCCAUCUAGAACACCAAUACCAAUAUUUAAUAUUCAAAUAGUUCCAGUGUAAUGCUGUGUGUUAUUCAAGAAAUAGAGUUAAUUAAUUGUCUAUACAAUUUUAUACCCUUAAAGGACACUUGCUAUAAAUAAUAAAAACGAAUGGCAAUACAACUAUAUCAAAGUAAGAAGAUAUAUAUUCCUUGAUAAUUAUCAGAUGUAGGCUUAUCAGACUUUUCUUCCCCGAUCUUCCUGAUUCGCAGCGGGAGCUUUGCGUGUAUAUAGCCUUUGAUUUUCAUAUAGUGUGAACAAUGUAUUUCUUCCACUGA